rnacentral:rRNA from 1 species
UGAACGCUGGCGGCGUGCCUAAUACAUGCAAGUCGAGCGAACAGACGAGGAGCUUGCUCCUCUAACGUUAGCGGCGGACGGGUGAGUAACACGUGGAUAACCUACCUAUAAGACUGGGAUAACUUCGGGAAACCGGAGCUAAUACCGGAUAAUAUAUUGAACCGCAUGGUUCAAUAGUGAAAGACGGUUUUGCUGUCACUUAUAGAUGGAUCCGCGCCGCAUUAGCUAGUUGGUAAGGUAACAGCUUACCAAGGCAACGAUGCGUAGCCGACCUGAGAGGGUGAUCGGCCACACUGGAACUGAGACACGGUCCAGACUCCUACGGGAGGCAGCAGUAGGGAAUCUUCCGCAAUGGGCGAAAGCCUGACGGAGCAACGCCGCGUGAGUGAUGAAGGUCUUCGGAUCGAAAAACUCUGUUAUUAGGGAAGAACAAAUGUGUAAGUAACUAUGCACGUCUUGACGGUACCUAAUCAGAAAGCCACGGCUAACUACGUG